rnacentral:rRNA from 1 species
CCUACGGGAGGCUGCAGUGGGGAAUAUUGGACAAUGGGCGAAAGCCUGAUCCAGCCAUGCCGCGUGUGUGAAGAAGGCCUUCGGGUUGUAAAGCACUUUCAGUGGGGAAGAAAGCCUUGGGGCUAAUACCCUCGAGGAAGGACAUCACCCACAGAAGAAGCACCGGCUAACUCCGUGCCAGCAGCCGCGGUAAUACGGAGGGUGCGAGCGUUAAUCGGAAUUACUGGGCGUAAAGCGCGCGUAGGCGGUCUGAUAAGUCGGUUGUGAAAGCCCCGGGCUCAACCUGGGAACGGCAUCCGGAACUGUCAGGCUAGAGUGCAGGAGAGGAAGGUAGAAUUCCCGGUGUAGCGGUGAAAUGCGUAGAGAUCGGGAGGAAUACCAGUGGCGAAGGCGGCCUUCUGGACUGACACUGACGCUGAGGUGCGAAAGCGUGGGUAGCAAACAGGAUUAGAUACCCGAGUAGUC